GACUGGAUAGCUCAGUCGGUAGAGCAUAAGGCUCUUAAUCUCGGGGCUGUGGGUUCGAGUCCCGUGUUGGGCG